rnacentral:lncRNA from 1 species
CUGACCUACCCAUGCAUUUCCAGAACUCUACCUGGAUCUCGUCAGGCCCGGUCGCUCGACCCCUACUUAUCCUACACAAAGCCCCCAUGACCUCCGCCGCCCUAAUGCGCCUGCAGUACCCAAGGUCUCUAUGUUGCUCUGAAUGCCCCAACUCUCCUAGUUCUAUGUUGCGAUCCCCCUCAUCGUUAAGUAAGUCUCGAAAGUACGUCUGCCACCUCUGCU